UGCUGAUGCUACUUUGAUGGCUUUGAAGAAAGAAGAAGAGGCCAUGAAGCAGGGAAUGUAGAAGAUUUCUAGAAGCUGGAAAAGGCAAGGAAACAGAUUCUCCCCUAAAUCCUCCAGAAGGAACCCUGCUGAGUUGAUACCUUGAUUUUAGCCUGAUGAAACCCCAUUUUUAGACUUCCAAUGUCCUGAACUGUAAAAUCAUAAGUGUGUGUUGUUUUAAGCCACGAAGUUUGUGAUAAUUUGUUAUAGCAGCAAUAGGAGACUAAUACACACCGUCCCCACUUUGCUGGCAUGGUAACUAAAUUCUGGAAAGGGGUGGCAAUAGUGAUACCGAGAGGUGAUAUAGAGCACAGGGACUCAGAGUAGAAACUGCCUGGAUUCAAAACUCGGCUCAGUCACCUGUUGGCUUUGUAACCUUAGUGAAUUUAUGGAACCUCUCCACAAAUGGCUACUUCCUCAUCUGUAAAUUAAUGUUCUCAUCUGUAAAUUGGGAAUAAGAUCAGUACCUACUUCUCUGGGUUAUUGUGAAGAAUAAAUAUGUUCAUUUAAGUAAAGGGCUUAGAACAGGGCCUGGCAUGCAGUAAACACGAUAUAACUAUUAGUUAUUAUUGUGGUUACUCUUAUUAUUAUCAUCUAGUCUUAGGCCUUGAUUAGUCCAUGUUGGUUCCUGCCAAGUGAGCCCUCAACCCUAGACCCAGGUCUGUCUGUAUUUCAGUUAAUUCUGCUCCAGAAUGCUCCCACCAUUCUGGAAGCAAGAUGCUGAUUCCCAUACCAAUUUGAAACAGAUAUCAGACCCUCACCCAGAUCCCUUGGAAUCCCUUUUACCUGCUGGUUGAUGUGCUUGUCCCCCUAGCUUCUGCUGUGGCUUUGGCUAAAGGCUUACCCCUACAACCUUGUCCAGAGGAUUGCCCUUGGGCAAUGGAAGCCACCUUGCCCAAAGUUAAGAUACCCUCAUCCAAGGUCAGGAACCCAAGGGAAGGGUAUAAACGUCUUGCUCUCUUGUUUCAAGGUAGGACAGACUCUACAGUACAAUUUAUGCUCCAAAGCUUGAGAGGAUCUGAUGGAAACCACAUGCUUCCCCCUCCCUGUCCUGCUGCCUUCACUACCCUACAGAUGCCUCCUGAGAGAACUCCUUCAAGUAUGCGGGCCUCUCACUGUUGUGGCCUCUCCUGUUGUGAAGCACAGGCUCUGGACGUGCAGGCUCAGUGGCAAUGGCUCACGGGCCUAACCGCUCCGCGGCAUGUGGGAUCCUCCCGGACCCGGGCAUGAACCCGUGUCCCCUGCAUCGGCAGGUGGACUCUCAACCACUGUGACACCAGGGAAGCCCUGAGAUGUUUCUUGAUUCUUGAGGAUGAAGUUUGACUUGGACCUUAGUCACAGACUUGCGACUUGAGGAAGACUCUUAGUGUAAAAUGUAUUAACUCUAACACGUUUCAAGAAAAUUCAUGUUCCUACCCCAUGGGUACCUGGCAUGUGCCAGGUGAUCCACGUAUGUUUAUCAAGUGAGUGAAUGUCAAGUUUUGCCAGUCUUUCAAGAACGAUGCCACUCUGUUAGGUAAACUGAUAAGAAUGUUUUGCCUCCUGUUUUAUUCAGGGGACAAUUUAUGUAUUAUACAAUUUUGACUUUCCUGCCUGUGCCCUGCUGCCCAAAAUGUGACAAUUUUGUUCAACAUUAGCACCGAAUCAAAUUAUAAGACUCAAAUGAGCCAACUUCCCUGGCAAAGGGUUGACAGAGGUGAAUGGAGAGAAUAGUGGAAAGACUGAGGCUAAGAAUAGAUUUUUUGGAUUGCUGGUAGAUUUUUAUCAUGGUCUCCGCUCACUUGCCAUUAUUAGCAUGGGUAAUUAAUAGCUGGCUAGCUGGAUUUCCUCUUAGUCUCAGGUUCUAUCAUAAUUCGAGUGAAUUUAAUCAGGACUGAUGCUAAUAACUGGAUUUCUAGCCUGGACCCCUGGGAACUUUCCAGGGGAUGGUGAGUGGAAGAACAACCGAGAACAACCAAGUGGCAUAUUUGUCCCUCUGCAGUUUCCUGCUGUGACAGAUCACCCUGGAACAUACACCUGCUUGUCCACAGUUAUCAUAUGAUAUCCUUAGAUACCAUAAUGAUAGAAUCCAAUGUGUCAGCUUGGGUUUAAAAAUAUGUUUCUAGUAGCUUUCGUUUUUAUUAUUUCAUGUUGUCUGGUUCUCAUUAUUUCUUAUUUUUUAUAUUUCUGCAUGUUAGUCUCUAUAUUCUGUUCAUUUGUUAUAUUUUCUUCUAAGAUUCUUGAGGAAGGGUGUUUAUUUUUUAGCAAUCAGUGACACUAUUUGGGAAGUGAUGAGUUUUGCUAUUGUAUUUGCUGUACCCCUCAAAGUACAGUCCUCAAAUGAAGGACUUGAAAACAUAUAUUAGAGAGGAGCCUCUGGCCCUAGUCACAAGCUACACUUAGUGUAUUAGAUAUAUUCCACAAAAUUCUACUGAAUUUUAGUCCUCAUCAGGUUAAAAAUAUUCCAGUUAGCAAAACACACAAAUAGGUGACUAUAGACUGAAUGUCUGUGUCCCCCACAAAGUACAUAUGUUGAAACCCUAAUCUCCAAGGUGAUAGUACUUGGUGGUGGGGCCUUUUGGGAGGUGUUUAGGUCAUGAGAGCAUAGCCCUCAUGGAUAGGACUUGCAUCCUUACAAGAGGCUCCAGAGAACUCUCUCACCUCUUUUACCACAUGAGGACACAAUGAAAAGACAGCUGUCUAUGGUGAACCAAGAAGCCUGCUCUCACCAGACACUGAAUCUGCCAGUGCCUUGGUCUUGGACUCCUCAGCCUCCAGAACUAUGAGAAAUACAUUUUUGUUGUUUAUAAGCCACCCAGUCUCUGAUAUUUUUCUUAUAGCAGCCCAAACAGACUAAGACACAGGCCUUUAUCAAUUCCAAGUUUAGACGUGCUUCUAACACCGGGGGACAAGGCCCACCCCCACUCAGCAUGGGUAACUUUUUUGUAGCCAGCUCUUGUGUAAGUGCUUUCACUGUUCGUGAUUUUUACACAGUCAGAUUAUCCUUUGACCACAACUGUUCAUGCAUUUGAGCACAAGAACUUGAAUAUUUACUUGUUAUCAUAUAUCUGAUAUUCUGUGACUGUCAAAAUAGUACCAUCGCCUUAUUACAUAAACUCUCAAUGCUACAUGACCAUUGAUUAAAAACUACCCAGUCACUGAGAGUCUCAUAAACACCAAGAGCCCUGGGGUAUGUCUUCAGGUGCGCAGCUACAUUCCUUCAACAGAUGCAUCUGCUAAUUCAUUUUUAUCACUGCCUGCCCAAGCUGAAUCAGCCACCAUGUUUCUUGUUAGGUGGAUGCCCCAAUAAACAGCAAUAGCUGUGAAAGCCAGUGGAGAAGUGCAUUUUCCCCUUUCACUGGAAUUCUGAUUUAUUUGAUGGGUUCUGAACUGCUGGGGAGAAAAGGGGUAUGACCUUGCCCAAAGCCUGGAGAGCGGACUAGAUCUCUUUUGGGAGUAGAGGUGACAUUUUAUGGCUUUGUGCAUUUCUCUCACAUUGUUCAUUGUCCUUUGGAAAACUCCUUUCAGAAGUCUCCCCUUCUCAAGAAAUUCUUCAACCCACAAAUAAAUUCUACCGAACCCACAGGAUCCGAAACCCAUAGACCCGGGUUCAGUUUCCCUCCUUAGAAGCUGCUGACUUAGCGUGUGUAGCUGGACCCUUUUCUGCAGCAGGGGCGAAUAUUACUUUCAUCCAAAUUACAGGAUGACAGUGACCCCUAGUUUGGCAGCCCUGCAGAAGUAGGAACGGCCAUGUUCAGCCGUGUUCAACCCACAAAGAAUCCAUCUUAAAAAUAUAGUCGUAGCUCAUUCUUCCAGAAACCAAGCCAGACCCACAUUGACCCACCCAGGUGCCAGCUCAGUUUCUGUGGAAUCAGAAACAUCCUGAUGUUACAACGCCCAGUCUCCUGAUCUUUUUCUUUUCUUUCUUUUUUGCCUACUCUUCCAUUUUUCCAAAUUACCUCUUGGCUGCCAAUGACUUAGAUUUGCUUGUUGGGAGCCUGGUAGUUGGGACUUAAAACCAAAGAGGCAGACGUCUCAGAGGUUGUGUUCUCUAAAAUUCUCUCCAGUUCUCUAAAUUUCAAAACUUAUAUUUUGAAAUAUAAGUUCAAAAAAUCUCAAGGUCUAGUAUCUAUAUAUCUACAUCUAUGUUUCUUUAAGACUCACAACUCUUAUGCAGUAUAGAUUGAGUUUUAGAUGAAAGUUUAUCCAAGAAAUAUUUAUUGUGUACCUUUAUGCAGUCAGAAUGAGAAUACAGUGGUGAACAAGACAGAAAGAUCCCUGGUUUCCUAGAGUGGGCAUUCUAGGAGCAGAAUGGCUCCAUAGAAUUAUCUACUUCAGAAGUCAGAGAGAAAAAUCGUGCUAGAAACUGGAAGGGAGUAUGCAUUGGCCAUGUUCUGUAGUGUACUAUAGACACAGAAUUGAAAAAAAAGAUUUCACAGGAAAAUAUUUCAGGUAGAUUACUUCCAUUCAGGAAAUACAUGCUCAUUAUUUUCUUCAAACUUGAAAUUACUUUUUCCUUUGAAGUUCUCUUAAAUCUGUUAUUAUUCAGGAUCUCUAGCCAAUUUCUCAUCAAAUUGCCCUAUUUGUAGCUUCCAAACGUUAACACCUCUAUGCUGAAAUGGAGCCUAUAAAAUGCGUUAGGGGCUUAAACUGGGUGUGAGGCAAAAAUGGUAUUUAAGCCCUUAAUGAAAUUCUGAGCUUUGGAAAGUGUCGCAUUUUGGGUUUAUGGGAGUCUUCUUUCACUUCC